CCUGGGACAAGUGCUGCUUGCCAGUCCCAGCUGUGCUUCUCUAGCAGAAAUCUCCAGGCUGCUGAGCCUGGCAGUGAGGAAAUACUGCUCUGACAACAUGGCCCCACCUCCGGGUGCCUGGCCAGGCGAGAAAAGGAAACGUCACUGCAGCUGAGGCUGUGCCUUGCACUGAUCUGUUUGUUUGGCUCUCCUGGCUCCUGGGCAGCACCUUCUGGGUUAGCUGCUGCUUCUGAUGAGUCCUAAAGAGGGAGAAAGACCUUGAGGUGAGGGCUGACUUCCUUCCAAGCUGACCUGUCUAUUCCAAGAAAUGGAAAUUUUCCAUGCUGUACAAAGCAACUGGCCCCACCUUGUUUACAGGGUCUCUUGUGUAACUCCACAUGCUGGGUUUUACAGGACACAAAUAAAAAACAGGUUGAGUGUUGCAUGUUGUCACACCCACACAGAGAGAACACAGGACAGGUCUUUAUGUGCAGCAUGAAGAAAUAACAACCUGGGAAAUGAAACAAGGAAUAAGUGAAGAAACGUCUUACCUGUAUCGCUGGUAGUGAGUGGUCAUCAAAAUGCAAAAUCCAGCCAGGUAGCUUGAUUUCCCCACAGCCAAACAUUCUCCUUUGCAUUUUGCAUAAAUAAAGAAAAAGUGUAAAUUCCCUGCCCAUAAAGAGCACUUUAUUCUAAGAAUGAGAACACCUUGGCCAUCUGACAGUUGGAGCUGGA
rnacentral:lncRNA from 1 species